AAAAUUAUGUGUACGUUUAUCUGUUCACCAAAAUAUUAGCAAUAGUUGUCCCUAUGUAGUGGGAUAACGGGUUGUAAUUUUGUUUGUAUUGUUUUCAAUUUCCUACAAUAUUUACUUUUGCCUUCAAAACAAUUUUAUUUACUAUGUUACAAAACACAAGACGAGAACACGUCUCUUCUCCGUCCCUUAGGUUACCCUCCCCCACCGGGGCGUGGCUUCCCGCCUUCUUUCUUGAGGUUCUCAGUCCGGUCCGCCGACCGGCGUAUAAAGACUCUGCCGCGACUGCAGCUGUCACAAGCCUUAGUUCAGUCUCUUACUUCGCAAUGUCUGGUCGUGGUAAGGGCGGUAAGGGCCUUGGGAAAGGCGGUGCCAAGCGCCACCGCAAAGUACUGCGCGACAACAUCCAGGGCAUCACCAAGCCCGCCAUUCGGCGUCUGGCUCGGCGUGGCGGUGUCAAGCGUAUCUCUGGUCUCAUUUACGAGGAGACCCGCGGGGUGCUCAAGGUCUUCCUGGAGAAUGUGAUCCGCGACGCUGUCACCUACACCGAGCACGCCAAGCGGAAGACAGUCACGGCUAUGGAUGUGGUCUACGCGCUCAAGCGCCAGGGGCGCACCCUGUAUGGUUUUGGUGGCUGAGUGCUCGUUUUCUUCGUUCACAACAAAAGGCCCUUUUCAGGGCCCCCUCCCCACUCUGCUGAGGAGCCGUGAUGCUGACUUGGAGCUACAAUUAAAACUGGAGAUCAUUAAGUCAAUUUGGUCUGUUUGCAAUUUAAGCGCUUCCAGGAAUACACAAAGUAGUGGGGGAGAGGGGAGGAGGAUGUCUGUUUUUUUUUUUUUUUUAAGGCUUCUGUUGAAGUUCAGUUUUUAUGAAGGUCUUCCUAAAUAUAGCACCUAUUGUCAAUCAGAAAAGGGUGACUGGUGUUGUUGAAGGGAAAAAUUAAAGCAAACAUCUUACUUUGAAUUUAAGGUUUUUCUUACCCACAAAACUAAAUAUUAACCAUAAAAAGUACAGACCAAAUUCUGCCAGUGGUUUUUCUUUCACCCAAAGUUGCUAAUGUUUUCUUUCCUGUUCGAAGAAAGGCUGCCUUCAUUUAAAUUUCAAAAGAUAUCAUGGCUAUGGGUGGGUGGAGGGCCAGGACCACCUUGUGACCAGAUAUCAUUUGAUCUCAGUAAAAAGAGGAGGGUAGGUUUCAGUCAAUUACGUUAUGAUCUUCUAUUCUUCUCCUUCCCCUUCACAAGCCUCAUUGUAACCAGUCUACUUCCAGUCACUUGCUUUGUUGGAAUCAGAAUGGUCUCCCUAUAUGCAUAUAGAAUAGCCACUGCCAUAGCUGCUCAGAAUAAACCUCAUGUUUCAAUUUCUUCGAGUUUUGAUUAUCUUUAACAGCAUAGUCUCACCGGUGCAUGGAGAAACAUUUAAGAGACUGUUGCUGGUCUAAAUCUUACCACAAGGGGGUUUGAGAGAGCUUUCCUUACUUAAAUUAACUAUUGAACAAGAUUUUUUUUUUUUUAUGAUGAAGUUCAUAAUCAGCACUCACUGGGGUUAGCUAUUUUAUGACAUUGAUGAAAAUGACGAAUGUGUCACUGGCGAUACCAAAUAAAAAUUCAGUAGGAGCAGUUACAGUAACAUUGAUUUAUAUACAGUAAAAUCAAAACAAAACCAAACCUACUGCCGUCGAGUCGAUUCUGACUCAUAGCGACCCUACAGGACAGAGUAGAACUGCCCCAUAGAGUUUCCAAGGAGCGCCUGGUGGAUUCGAAGUGCAGACCCUUUGGUUAGCAGCCAUAGCACUUAACCACUAAGUCAAAAGUGAAAAACUUAUGGCCCCACUUAUGGAGUGCAGAUGUGUUUUUUUCACACAGGUCUUUUUAAAAUCGUUUUGUCAGUUAUUUUAGAAAGAUAUUUUAUAUGAAUAAUGUAUAGUUUUCUUACCUCUGGAAAAAUUGUUAGACCUGGCACUGCUAAGUGGGCUCACAUAGUUUUUUUGGGCAUAAAGAAUAAUCAUUCUGUUUCGAAUGAAAAAAAAAAGUUAAGAUGUAAAUCGCCUGUUUUACAACUUUACUACCAAAGUGUUGCAACAUGGUGAAAUGUUUCCACGGGCAUUGGAAGCCGAAGGCUUGAAAUCAAACCUAUACCAAUCAUUUUCUAGUUGUGUGAACUUGAGUACAGUUACAUAUCCUUUCUGGGCCUCAAUUUUCUUUAUUUGUGUGACAAUGAUGAUAACAGUGCCUAGCUUAGUCAAAUGAGUUGAUAAAUGAAAAGUGCUUAGUACGGUGCCUGAUACACAAUAAGUACAAUAUGAAUCACUUCUUGUUAUUACUCGUUUAUGCCCGGCCCCUAAUUGCAUCUGACUUUGUGACCCCUAGAUGACAGCAACCUUUUCUAACAACCACUUUCCAGUCCUCAAGAUUCAGCCAUUGUGUACUUGGAUUUAAAAGAGGCCUAGUCUCCCCCGUCUCUCUAAUUGAGCAAUAAGAAAUACCCUAGUGUCAUUAACACAUUUUUUUAAAUAACUUUGUCAAAUUGAGAGAUUUUCUUGAUUAUUCCUACAAUGUCACAUGCUUUGUUGCUUUCGUAGUCACAUUCUGGGUGGUUAAGUGAAAGGCAGGAGGAGCCUUCCAUACUCUUCUGAGGAUGGCCACCUACAGCGUGACUGAGUAGGUUUGUUAUGGUUUUUGUCUUUCCCUAACUCCAUGUUCUCACUGCCUUUCUAUUAAUCUCAUCUCUUUUUUCUGCAUAGCGUAGAAUUUUACCACCAAAAAGAAACCCAGACAUUACAGGGACCAGAGAUUCUCUGACCUGACGGCAAAUAAGAAUCACUGAUGAAAGUUUGUUUUAAAUUCUCUGACCUGACAGCAAAUAAGAAUCACUGAUGAAAGUUUGUUUUAAAUGUCAAUAACUGGCUCUUCCCCAGACCAGUUAAAUUAGAAUCUCUAGAAAUGGGUAACCUCAAAUAUGUCUCAUUAGCACUUCCCAUUGAUACCUGGUCUCACCAAAAACAGAAACAAAAAAAAAUCCCAUUGCCAUCAAGUCAAUUCUGAUCCAUAGUGACCCUACAGGACAGAGAAUCCAUAAGAUUUCUAAGGAAAGGCUGGUAUAUUUGAACUGCCAGCCCUUUGGUUAGCAGCCAAGUUCUUAACCACCAGGGCUCCUCCCGGUCCCACAGGACUUUUCAAAUGGGGAGGGGGGAAUAUCAGUGUUUUACUGUCACCUUCUUAUCAAUGUCAGCUUUAAGUAAGAGGACACACUCAAAAGCAGCUACACCCUCAUCCCAAAACUCUGACCCACAUUAAGAGACAAAGGGCAAAUUAUUCUUCAUUUCAAAGAGAGUAUACAUGUCCCAUCCAGGAAUUCAAAUUCUUAUUUUUCUCCUAAAGGAUUUAGAUCAAAACUCAUGGGUUUGUUUUAUCUAUGCUUGAUGGCUUCACUACUGAUGGCUUAAAGGUUGUUGCAUAAAUAGGUUUUGCUGUAAACAAGGUUCGGCAGUUGGAGUUAAGA